AACGAACGCUGGCGGCAGGCUUGACACAUGCAAGUCGAGCGCCCCGCAAGGGGAGCGGCAGACGGGUGAGUAACGCGUGAGAACAUACCCUUUUCUACGGAAUAACGCAUGGAAACGUGUGCUAAUACCGUAUGAGCCCUACGGGGGAAAGAUUUAUCGGGAAAGGAUUGGCCCGCGUUGGAUUAGCUAGUUGGUGGGGUAAUGGCCUACCAAGGCGACGAUCCAUAGCUGGUCUGAGAGGAUGAUCAGCCACAUUGGGACUGAGACACGGCCCAAACUCCUACGGGAGGCAGCAGUGGGGAAUAUUGGACAAUGGGCGCAAGCCUGAUCCAGCCAUGCCGCGUGAGUGAUGAAGGCCCUAGGGUUGUAAAGCUCUUUCACCGGAGAAGAUAAUGACGGUAUCCGGAGAAGAAGCCCCGGCUAACUUCGUGCCAGCAGCCGCCGUAACAC
rnacentral:rRNA from 1 species